rnacentral:rRNA from 1 species
UACGGAGGGUGCAAGCGUUAUCCGGAUUCACUGGGUUUAAAGGGUGCGUAGGUGGGUUGGUAAGUCAGUGGUGAAAUCUCCGAGCUUAGCUUGGAAACUGCCAUUGAUACUAUCAGUCUUGAAUAUUGUGGAGGUCAGCGGAAUAUGUCAUGUAGCGGUGAAAUGCUUAGAUAUGACAUAGAACACCAAUUGCGAAGGCAGCUGGCUACGCAUAUAUUGACACUGAGGCACGAAAGCGUGGGGAUCAAACAGG